rnacentral:snRNA from 1 species
GGAUGUGAGGGUGAUCUGGCUGUGACAUUUGUCACCCCAUUGAACUCCUGGGUUGAUUCGGCUGAUCUGGCUGGUUAGGCGUUUGUCUCCUUCCUCCCUUGCCACUCCAUGUGUAUCCCUCCCAAAGCUGUGCACUCAACUGAAGAGGACAACUUUCCCCAAAUAGAGGAGGACUGGUCUUUGGUCAAGGUUAUAUGAGUAGCUGUGCUCGCCUGCUAGAACCUCCAGGCAAGCUCUCAGAUUACUAGAGAGAGUAACAGUGCACACUGGUGUGCUGUGGUCUGUGAAAUCCACCAUUAGGAAAAUAGUGUAGAGCUGUGCGUGGUGGCACAUGUGUUUA